CCUACGGGAGGCAGCAGUGGGGAAUUUUGGACAAUGGGCGCAAGCCUGAUCCAGCAAUGCCGCGUGAGUGAAGAAGGCCUUCGGGUUGUAAAGCUCUUUUGUCAGGGAAGAAACGGUUCGGGUUAAUACCUUGGGCUAAUGACGGUACCUGAAGAAUAAGCACCGGCUAACUACGUGCCAGCAGCCGCGGUAAUACGUAGGGUGCAAGCGUUAAUCGGAAUUACUGGACGUAAAGCGUGCGCAGGCGGUUGUGCAAGACAGAUGUGAAAUCCCCGGGCUCAACCUGGGAAUUGCAUUUGUGACUGUACGGCUAGAGUGUGUCAGAGGGGGGUAGAAUUCCACGUGUAGCAGUGAAAUGCGUAGAGAUGUGGAGGAAUACCGAUGGCGAAGGCAGCCCCCUGGGAUAACACUGACGCUCAUGCACGAAAGCGUGGGGAGCAAACAGGAUUAGAUACCCUGGUAGUCCACGCCCUAAACGAUGUCUACUAGUUGUCGGGUCUUUAUUGACUUGGUAACGCAGCUAACGCGUGAAGUAGACCGCCUGGGGAGUACGGUCGCAAGAUUAAACGUNAAAGGAAUUGGNGNGNGNGAGNGCGAGNGACGACGAGGAGNGG
rnacentral:rRNA from 1 species